rnacentral:rRNA from 1 species
GACGAACGCUGGCGGCGUGCCUAACACAUACAAGUCGAACGGGACCAGGGGCAACUCUGGUUCAGUGGCGGACGGGUGCGUAACACGUGAGGAACAUGACUUUCGGUGGGGGAUAGCCGGCCCAACGGCCGGGUAAUACCGCGUACGACCCUUCGGGGACAUCCCCGGCUGGUGAAAGCAGCAAUGCGCCGAAAGAGUGCCUCGCGGCCUAUCAGCUAGUUGGUGGGGUAACGGCCCACCAAGGCGACGACGGGUAGCUGGUCUGAGAGGAUGGCCGGCCACAUUGGGACUGAGACACGGCCCAGACUCCUACGGUAGGCAGCAGUGGGGAAUAUUGCGCAAUGGGCGAAAGCCUGACGCAGCGACGCCGCGUGUGGGAUGACGGCCUUCGGGUUGUAAACCACUGUCGGGAGGGACGAAUGCCCCGCAAGGGGAGUGACGGUACCUCCAAAGGAAGCACCGGCUAACUCCGUGCCAGCCGCCGCCGUAAUAC